UACGGAGGGGGCUAGCGUUGUUCGGAAUUACUGGGCGUAAAGCGCACGUAGGCGGCUUUGUAAGUUAGAGGUGAAAGCCCAGGGCUUAACCCUGGAAUUGCCUUUAAGACUGCAUCGCUAGAAUCGUGGAGAGGUGAGUGGAAUUCCGAGUGUAGAGGUGAAAUUCGUAGAUAUUGGGAAGAACACCGGUGGCGUAGGCGACUAGCUGGGCCAUAACUGACGCUGAGGAACGAAAGCCAGGGGAGCGAAUGGG
rnacentral:rRNA from 1 species